CGCACACUGUUGUAUUUCCAGCCUCCACAGCAGCCAAGCAGCCAAGCAGCCCUUCGACAUGGAGGCAGCAGACCUGGAGGAAGUCGGACACGUUAGCAACCUGCCUGCUCUGAUGGAUCCGGACAACGAUGCUAAUAGAGUGGUUAUUGGCUAUUUUGCGUUGCUAUUUCUUGGUGCAGUGCAGCAGGAUUUCAGAGAAACCCACUGGAGACCACCUGGAAUCCACACUGAACUGGUCCUUGGUCCAGUGUGGGCCCUUGAGCCCCUCCAGCGUCACGGCACUCUGCAGGUGCCCUGGUGGAUCUUCCUUAAAAGACGAGCAGAGACAUUACCAGGCUGGAUAUGCAAUCAGCCUUAGGAAUGCCCACUGCUCUCUGUUGACCCUGCUAACCCAGUGAAAGAUUUCCUUCUACAGGCUCAAGAAAUUGCCAUGGAAGAAGAGAAACAAAUAUGGCAACAAAAAGGGGGAAUUUAUUAUUAUUAUUGUUGAGGUCAAUGAUGGUUUACAGCAUCAUGAAAUUUCAGUUGUACGUUAUUAUUUGUCAGUCACCAUAUAAGUGCGCCCCUUAACCCUUUGUGCCCAUCCACCAACCUCCUUCCCCCUGGUAACCACUAAAUGGUUCUCUUUGUCCAUGUGUUUAUCUUCCACAUAUGAGUGAAAUCAUAUGGGGUUUGUCUUUGUCUAGCUUAUUUCACUUAACAUAAUACCCUCAAGGUCCAUCCAUGUUGUUGCGA
rnacentral:lncRNA from 1 species